UCUCUCGGUGCUAUAGUAAUUCACUAUGAUGACAAAAUAUUUGGAAGAGAAAUUAUCAAUUCUAUCUCCUCUAACCUUUCUCUCUAUUUGAUGAUAAUAUAUAAAACCCAAGGACUGCUCUUUAUCUAUAAAAUGAAUUAGGGGAAAAUUAAAUUUUACAUUGACUCGUAUUCCUUCAAGGAAUUUUAUAAGGACUCAUAUUGAACUUAAUUAAAAUUUUCAUCCAAGGGGCUCCGCCCCUACCCCGGGCCUCCCAUUCCAACCCACACGGCAACCUUAUUGCGGAGUCAAUCCACGACCAGCUCCGUGAAAAUGGCAAUAAUUAGGCUCCAUAGCUUAACGUCGACAAUACUCCUCUUUUGCUUCACAAUUUUCACAAGAUGGUUUCGACCAAUGCAGAUAUAUGCUGUCAAUUUCGUGUCUCCCAGUAACUACAGUGAUCGGAACAUAUGAGUGCUGUAUAUCUUAAAGCAUGAUGAAUUUUCAGACAAGUUGCUAAGCAAAUCAGAAGAAGAAAUUACUAGGAUCAUGAAGGUAUGUAUAACUGAUACGCUGGAAAGAGAAACUAAAUAAUGUGUAUCCCAUCCCAAAUAUUUUAAGUAUCUCGAAUAAGGAUAUUGGUGAGUUUACACUAAGAGACUUCCCUGCGAGGCAGGAUGUUGCCAUGAAAUCAUUUAUAAAUAUCAGCUGUACUGUGUAAUCAAGUUUCCAUAUCAAUACUUUCGCUAAUACAGGUACCAGGUCACCGGAAAUUGAAGCUCAAACUCGAUCUUGUUGCAUUUGCAGCAUGAUAAGCCACGAUGUUCUGGUUGAUGACCCUUUACUAGGAAAAGGUAACUUAAAGACUGGACCUUACUUCCCACAACUCGUUGGCCGAGACUCUAGAUUUUGGGAGAAUGAAGUAAGGAGUCUAUUAAUGUUUUUAGGAAAACUGUCUGUAAAUUACUUCUAAAACCCAUCUUUCCCGGAUCAUGUUCUUGUU
rnacentral:lncRNA from 1 species